rnacentral:lncRNA from 10 species
GUUGCAGCCUGGGACCAGGGAAAUCAAGAGGUAAAAAUGCGGCCAAACCAUUAUGAGGAAAAGGGGCCAAGAAUUACACUGUAGCGCCUCGCGCCGGCUCCCCGGUCUCCUGGGGAGCGAAGGGAGCCUGAAGAGCUGGUCCUUAUACAGCUUUCUGAAAUCCCUGAGAUCUGUCAAUGAAUCGCGCAUCUUUCACUCCACAAGAUCAUGCUGGCUGCUGUGUGGAGAAAAGACCGAGGGGAAGUAAAAGAACAAAGAACAAAAGAGAACAUGAUGGCUUGGAUCAAGAAUCACCAUUAGCUCCCUUCUGAUGAAGCAGGAGUUGACUCAGCUGGGCUUUCAGCUGGACACGGAAAGCGGAGGUAGAUGAAUUGUCAUGAUCAAGUGGGUGUCAUCAAGUACUUAGAAAGGUUUCAUUUUGUUCCUACUGUCUUUC